rnacentral:rRNA from 1 species
GUAAUGUGAAUUGCAGAAUUCAGUGAAUCAUCGAAUCUUUGAACGCAUCUUGCGCCCCUUGGUAUUCCGAGGGGCAUGCCUGUUUGAGUGUCGU